rnacentral:rRNA from 1 species
AACGAACGCUGGCGGCGUGCUUAACACAUGCAAGUCGAACGCGAAAGGGACUUCGGUCCUGAGUAAAGUGGCGCACGGGUGAGUAACGCGUAGAUAACCUGUCUCCAUGUCUGGAAUAAUACGCCAAAGGGGUACUAAUACCGGAUAUUCUUGCUUUUCAUAAGUUAUGCAAGCAAAGGUGGCCUCUGCAUAUGCUACUGCAUGAAGAGGGGUCUGCGUACCAUUAGCUAGUAGGUGGGGUAAUGGCCUACCUAGGCGACGAUGGUUAGCGGGUCUGAGAGGAUGAUCCGCCACACUGGCACUGGAACACGGGCCAGACUCCUACGGGAGGCAGCAGUGAGGAAUAUUGCGCAAUGGGGGAAACCCUGACGCAGCGACGCCGCGUGAGUGAGGAAGGCCUUCGGGUCGUAAAGCUCUGUCAAGAGGAAAGAAGUGUACAAUGGCUAAUACCUGUUGUAUUUGACGGUACCUCUAAAGGAAGCACCGGCUAACUCCGUGCCAGCCGCCGC